rnacentral:rRNA from 1 species
UGGGGAAUAUUGCACAAUGGGCGCAAGCCUGAUGCAGCCAUGCCGCGUGUAUGAAGAAGGCCUUCGGGUUGUAAAGUACUUUCAGUCGGGAGGAAGGUGUCAAGGUUAAUAACCUUGGCAAUUGACGUUACCGACAGAAGAAGCACCGGCUAACUCCGUGCCAGCAGCCGCGGUAAUACGGAGGGUGCAAGCGUUAAUCGGAAUUACUGGGCGUAAAGCGCACGCAGGCGGUUGAUUGAGUCAGAUGUGAAAUCCCCGGGCUUAACCCGGGAAUUGCAUCUGAUAAUGGUCAGCUAGAGUCUUGUAGAGGGGGGUAGAAUUCCAUGUGUAGCGGUGAAAUGCGUAGAGAUGUGGAGGAAUACCGGUGGCGAAGGCGGCCCCCUGGACAAAGACUGACGCUCAGGUGCGAAAGCGUGGGGAGCAAACAGG